ensembl:antisense A230009B12Rik RIKEN cDNA A230009B12 gene
GCAGCCUGGAAACCAUCCUUGUUACAAGUGACACAACGCAAUAACCCGGCAUAAUGAAAAGAGAGGCCACAUAACAGCUCCAUUUGGCGACCUAUGCCGACUGGGGAGUUUUCAAGUUUUCUUCUUUUGGCUUUCUGUGCUCUCUCAGUCUUUCCUGACUCUUACUCAAUCCUCAACCUGAAUUACGCCAGGCUGGUCCUUAAAGCUGCCGCUGCCAAUGAGGAGACAGAGGAGCUGGCAGGAGUUUUAGCCUCCAGACCAGGCCUUGAGAGUCAAGACCACCACUCGCCCUCUAUGCUCCACUCCUCCCUGAGGCUUGGAUUUGCCGAAGUCACCUCCAAAGUGCCCACUGAAGUUCUCACUGUUUCCUUUUCAGAACCAAGCCUUCUGGGUGACAAUUAGGAUGUCUGAGCCCACCUGCAAGGCAAAUCUAGAGUGCCAUGGCUCAGCUUUGGGGGUUCCUCCUACCGAAGCACUCUCCCUGGACUGCUCCUGGAUGAGUGUGCUCUCAGGGCCAGCUUGUCCCCUCACUAUCCCCUGAAGCAGGGGAUGUCUGCCUUUAUGACCUUCUCAGCUGCCUGCCUGACCAUUCCUCUCUCAUUCGGCCAUUGUUUCAGAACAAUCGGCUCAGCUUCUCUAAUUCUCAAUCCUCUGCAUUUCUUCCAUGACGGAUCAGCAACUGCAGAGAACAGGCAGAGUCUCCCCGACUUUGCUCUUCUCUAGCACACAGCAGAAGAUUCUGAACGAGCAGUGAGGACCCUAAGAUCGGACUGUGCCCUGUCAGUCAAGGCCUCCGUGGCCCUGAGCGAGCUGCUUAGAUCUGUUGCUUUCAGCUUGUCUAGAAGACAAACAUUUCAUAGUAAGGCUAUUUGUGAAAUCUAAUUGAUGUAGUGAAAUCAGAGUGCGAUAUUGGUAUUUCAUAUUUAUCUCAGUGUCUACACAGGAGUUUUAUAUGGCCUAUCUAGAUAGAAUUUGACCAAAUCUGAAAAUUUGACUGAAAUCUGUUGGCUGUAAGGGAAGCCUGAGCAGAGUCUAUUCUUGGGUGUGUCCUGUCUCCCAGGAAGCAGCUGUGGAACUGUCACCUUGGAAGAAGACAGUGACCCUCAACGCCAGCCUUGUUUGGACUGCCUCUGCAGACAGAACAUUGCAAAAUUGGUUAUUUUACUGUAUUUUCACAGAGAUAAUAUAGUAAAAUACGGCCUUGGAGUGUUAGAGACUUUGUCACCAAUCUUCAGCCGUUCCCUGUUCUCAUAAGAAGGAAUUUUUAUAAAUGGGUGAGAGUUGUUUCCAAUCCAUGGGUAGAAUCAGCAGGUAUCCCCUAAGCUCACGGAUCUCACAAAACUUCUGCUGGCUUCCGACAUUCAGUACAAGAAACAUCUGUUAAGCAGGCUAAAGCUCUAAAAAAUAUUCGUAGGUAGCCUAUUUAAGCUGAACACUGGUCAUUCACUGGACACUGACCCUGAAUCUUUAAAACCCCCUUCAGGUCCAAGUUUGAAACUUUGGACUGUCCUCGACUGGGAGCUCUGGGCUGCAGGCUAUACACAACGGAGUCCAUAAUCUAUGGGGCUCUGCAAUCAGCAACCUAACCAUGCCAACACACUAGCCCUGGGGACCCUCCCUUCUACACCGGCAAGGGGGACUCAAGGUAUUAUGGGAUGCCAGGGCUUUGAUUCAGUGAGUAAGGACCACGUUUAUUUUAACCAGUGGGGAGAAAACAAAAUCAAAAUAGAAAUUUAGGUUACUUUAUGGAUAAUAAAACGCAUCUGUCUAAUUGGUUAAAGAAUGUUC